rnacentral:sRNA from 1 species
UCCGUAGGUGAACCUGCGGAAGGAUCAUUACUGAUUUGCUUAAUUGCACCACAUGUGUUUUUUAUUGAACAAAUUUCUUUGGUGGCGGGAGCAAUCCUACCGCCAGAGGUUAUAACUAAACCAAACUUUUUAUUUACAGUCAAACUUGAUUUAUUAUUACAAUAGUCAAAACUUUCAACAACGGAUCUCUUGGUUCUCGCAUCGAUGAAGAACGCAGCGAAAUGCGAUACGUAAUAUGAAUUGCAGAUAUUCGUGAAUCAUCGAAUCUUUGAACGCACAUUGCGCCCUUUGGUAUUCCAAAGGGCAUGCCUGUUUGAGCGUCAUUUCUCCCUCAAACCCCCGGGUUUGGUGUUGAGCAAUACGCUAGGUUUGUUUGAAAGAAUUUACGUGGAAACUUAUUUUAAGCGACUUAGGUUUAUCCAAAACGCUUAUUUUGCUAGUGGCCACCACAAUUUAUUUCAUAACUUUGACCUCAAAUCAGGUAGGACUACCCGCUGAACUUAAGCAUAUCAAUAAGCGGAGGAAAAGA